CGGAUGUAGUUUAGUGGUAGAACUUCAGCCUUCCAAGCUGACCACGGGAGUUCGAUUCUCCUCAUCCG
rnacentral:tRNA from 1 species